AUGAACAGCGGUAUCAGCUUU
rnacentral:snRNA from 1 species